GAAGGGAACAGAAAUCCCGAGCGCGCAGCCCGACUACUAUUUCAGCCGCCUGACAUAAUCAGCAUGAUGACUAUUCCAGCCGCCUGAUAUAACCAACUAUCAUCCACACCUUACUCCUAUGGCAUGUUCAGAGGACACAAGAGCUUUUGGAUGCUGUUUUUGACAACAAACUAUAUUGCAGUAUAUGGUGAGAUCCAACCAUACUUACAUUGUAUAUAUAUACACUGAUUUCGGC